UGUUACUUUUUCAUAAUUGAACUUAUAAUUGACGUUUUGAUGGACAUGAGUAUUUGCGAACCGUGAAUAUCAUAUGGGUGGUGUUUGAGGUUAUUGAGGAUUUAUGCCGCUAUCUAUGUAUACUGUUUGUGUCUUGAGUUAAUAAGAAUGGUAGUCAUCCUCUUAUUUAGUUAUUAGCAUGCGUUUUGCGAAAAAGCAAUAUUUGUUAAUAUAUCUUCCGUUUACGGGUUCCCUCGAUUGGAGCCUUAAGCCACAUCUAGAAAAUACAACGGCUACGCCCCAUGGGAAUGUUGGUUACAAUUAGUGCCGGGUAACCGAUGAUGGUCGUUAGAAACCAUUUAAUGGUUAGACUUGGAUCGACUCAACGGCUCUGAUCGAUGCUUAUGACUCGCGUGUAUGUCUGGCCAGGUUAUAGGCCAUCGUUAUACAGUUGUUGUUUUGCCAUGUGUUACAAUAAUUAACAACUUGCUGUGUAUCUAUGGGACAUUCCCUUAAUUUGUAGUUGCCAGUUUGAUUGGCUAAGCUACUAGGUCUGCUGAACCAAUCAGAAUGCGAGUUACAAACCCGUUUCAAUGUAUAGUUGGCAAUACCAGUAACAAGUGCCACUGAUUAUAACCGAGUUUGAGAGAAAUUCAGACUAGAAAUAACUAUCUGACUAACAAACAGAAAUCUCUAAAAUAUUUUGAUGGAAAGGAAAUUUUAAUGUUAAUUGAAACUAGCGAUGGUUUUGGUAUCUAGUCAAUACGAGUUACCUUCCCUGAUGUCGGUGUUUGAUCAGUCGGGAAAAUGCCAAAGAAAGUAAAAUGCGGGUAAUUUGAGAAUUCAAGAACCGCGAGAAUUGAUACAGGUUUUAUCGAAGACCACCAAAAUGUUAGCCCUGAAGGUACCGUGUAUGAAGCCAGGUAGAUAUGUAGAUCUGGCCACCAGUAUGUGUUGUGUAACCCACGUUCUACUCCAGGGAUCAUGAGUUAUGAAGCCAGGUAGAUAUGUAGAUCUGACCACCAGUAUGCGUUGUGUAACCCACGUUCUACUCCAGGGAUCAUGAGUUAUGAAGCCAGGUAGAUAUGUAGAUCUGACCACCAGUAUGCGUUGUGUAACCCACGUUCUACUCCAGGGAUCAUGAGUUAUGAAGCCAGGUAGAUAUGUAGAUCUGACCACCAGUAUGCGUUGUGUAACCCACGUUCUACUCCAGGGAUCAUGAGUUAUGAAGCCAGGUAGAUAUGUAGAUCUGACCACCAGUAUGCGUUGUGUAACCCACGUUCUACUCCAGGGAUCAUGAGUUAUGAAGCCAGGUAGAUAUGUAGAUCUGGCCACCAGUAUGUGUUGUGUAACCCACGUUCUACUCCAGGGAUCAUGAGUUAUGAAGCCAGGUAGAUAUGUAGAUCUGGCCACCAGUAUGUGUUGUGUAACCCACGUUCUACUCCAGGGAUCAUGAGUUAUGAAGCCAGGUAGAUAUGUAGAUCUGACCACCAGUAUGUGUUGUGUAACCCACGUUCUACUCCAGGGAUCAUGAGUUAUGAAGCCAGGUAGAUAUGUAGAUCUGACCACCAGUAUGCGUUGUGUAACCCACGUUCUACUCCAGGGAUCAUGAGUUAUGAAGCCAGGUAGAUAUGUAGAUCUGACCACCAGUAUGUGUUGUGUAACCCACGUUCUACUCCAGGGAUCAUGAGUUAUGAAGCCAGGUAGAUAUGUAGAUCUGACCACCAGUAUGCGUUGUGUAACCCACGUUCUACUCCAGGGAUCAUGAGUUAUGAAGCCAGGUAGAUGUGUAGAUCUGACCACCAGUAUCUGUUGUGUAACCCACGUUCUAUUCCGGGGAUCAUGAGUUAUGAAGCCAGGUAGAUAUGUAGAUCUGACCACCAGUAUCUGUUGUGUAACCCACGUUCUAUUCCGGGGAUCAUGAGUUAUGAAGCCAGGUAGAUGUGUAGAUCUGACCACCAGUAUGUGUUGUGUAACCCACGUUCUAUUCCGGGGAUCAUGAGUUAUGAAGCCAGGUAGAUGUGUAGAUCUGACCACCAGUAUGUGUUGUGUAACCCACGUUCUACUCCAGGGAUCAUGAGUUAUGAAGCCAGGUAGAUAUGUAGAUCUGACCACCAGUAUGCGUUGUGUAACCCACGUUCUAUUCCGGGGAUCAUGAGUUAUGAAGCCAGGUAGAUGUGUAGAUCUGACCACCAGUAUCUGUUGUGUAACCCACGUUCUAUUCCGGGGAUCAUGAGUUAUGAAGCCAGGUAGAUGUGUAGAUCUGACCACCAGUAUCUGUUGUGUAACCCACGUUCUAUUCCAGGGAUCAUGAGUUAUGAAGCCAGGUAGAUAUGUAGAUCUGACCACCAGUAUCUGUUGUGUAACCCACGUUCUAUUCCAGGGAUCAUGAGUUAUGAAGCCAGGUAGAUAUGUAGAUCUGACCACC